AUGGAGUCACAGACCCAGGUUCUCAUGCUACUGCUCCUCUGGGUGUCUGGUGCCUGUGCAGAUAUCAUCAUGACCCAACCAUCUUCAAUGGCUGUGAGAGCAGGAGAGAAGGUCACCAUCAGCUGCAAGUCCAGUCAGAGUCUUUUUAACAGCGAAAACCAGAAAAACUACUUGACCUGGUACCAGCAGAAGCCAGGGCAGGCUCCUAAAAUGCUAAUCGACUAUGCAUCUACUAGGGAAACUGGGGUCCCUGAUCGCUUCAUAGGCAGUGGAUCUGGGACAGAUUUCACUCUAACCAUCAGCAGUGUUCAGGCUGAAGAUCUGGCAGUUUACUACUGUAUGCAAUUUUCUGAAUUUCCUCGCACAGUGCUUCAGCGUCCAACAAAAACUUCUGAGAGUCUCAGCAGCUGCCUGCACCACAGGCUGUCCUGCACAUGCACACUUCUCCCUUCUGCCUGGGAGACAGUGUGCCUGAAACUCUGA